GAUGAACGCUGGCAGAAUGCUUAACACAUGCAAGUCUUUGGCGAAGCUGUGCUUGCGCAGCCUAGCCAAGGCGGACGGGUGAGUAACGCGUAAGGAACUUGCCCUGCAGUCAGGUAUAACAGACGGAAACGACUGAUAAGACCUGGUAAAGUCAUACGGACUCAUGUCCAGCCUGAUGAAAAGUGAUGCUGCAGGAGAGCCUUGCGUCCUAUUAGCUUGUGGGUGGGGUAACGGCCCACCAAGGGGAUGAGAGGUAGCCGGCCUGAGAGGGUGGACGGCCACAAGGGGACUGAGAGACGGCAGUUACGCAUACGGGAGGAAGCAGUGGAGAAUAUUGGAGAAUGGGGGCAAGCGUGAUCAAGCAAUUCGGUGUGUACGAUGAAGGUUUUAGGAUUGUAAAGGGAUGUCAGUAGGUAAGAAAAAAAUGACGGUACCUGAACAAGAAGCGACGGCUAAAUACGUG
rnacentral:rRNA from 1 species